UACGUAGGGUCCAAGCGUUAUCCGGAAUCACUGGGCGUAAAGCGUGCGUAGGUGGCGCGUUAAGUGUGAUGUUAAAUCGCGGGGCUCAACCCUGUCGAUGCAUCGCGUACUGGCGUGCUAGAGGGAAGCAGAGGCAAGUGGAAUUGGUAGUGUAGCAGUGAAAUGCGUAGAUAUUACCAGGAACACCAAUGGCGAAGGCAGCUUGCUGGGCUUCUUCUGACACUGGAGGUACGAAAGCGUGGGGAGCGAACAGG
rnacentral:rRNA from 1 species